UACAGAGGUCUCAAGCGUUGUUCGGAUUCAUUGGGCGUAAAGGGCGCGUAGGCUGCGGGGCAAGUCGGGUGUGAAAUCUCAGAGCUCAACUCUGAAACUGCACUCGAUACUGCUCUGCUGGAGGACUGGAGAGGAGAUUGGAAUUCACGGUGUAGCAGUGAAAUGCGUAGAUAUCGUGAGGAAGACCAGUGGCGAAGGCGGAUCUCUGGACAGUUCCUGACGCUGAGGCGCGAAGGCCAGGGGAGCAAACGGG
rnacentral:rRNA from 1 species